GAAAUGCGAUAAGUAAUGUGAAUUGCAGAAUUCAGUGAAUCAUCGAAUCUUUGAACGCACAUUGCGCCCGCCAGCAUUCUGGCGGGCAUGCCUGUUCGAGCGUCAUUACAACCCUCAGGCCCCCGGGCCUGGCGUUGGGGAUCGGCGGAAGCCCCCUGCGGGCACAACGCCGUCCCCCAAAUACAGUGGCGGUCCCGCCGCAGCUUCCAUUGCGUAGUAGCUAACACCUCGCAACUGGAGAGCGGCGCGGCCACGCCGUAAAACACCCAACUUCUGAAUGUUGACCUCGAAUCAGGUAGGAAUACCCGCUGAACUUAAGC
rnacentral:misc_RNA from 1 species